rnacentral:rRNA from 1 species
UUAAAUUGAAGAGUUUGAUCAUGGCUCAGAUUGAACGCUGGCGGCAGGCCUAACACAUGCAAGUCGAGCGGUAGCACAGAGAGCUUGCUC